AGAGUUUGAUCCUGGCUCAGGACGAACGCUGGCGGCGUGCUUAACACAUGCAAGUCGAACGAGAGCGUAGAGAAAGCUUGCUUUUUCUACAAUCUAGUGGCAAACGGGUGAGUAACGCGUAAACAACCUGCCCUACGGAUGGGGACAACAGCUGGAAACGGCUGCUAAUACCGAAUACGUUCCGAAAGUCGCAUGACUGUCGGAAGAAAGGAUGGCCUCUAUUUAUAAGCUAUCGCCGGAGGAGGGGUUUGCGUCUGAUUAGCUAGUUGGAGGGGUAACGGCCCACCAAGGCGACGAUCAGUAGCCGGUCUGAGAGGAUGAACGGCCACAUUGGAACUGAGACACGGUCCAGACUCCUACGGGAGGCAGCAGUGGGGAAUCUUCCGCAAUGGGCGAAAGCCUGACGGAGCAACGCCGCGUGAGUGAAGAAGGAUUUCGGUUCGUAAAGCUCUGUUGUUAGGGAAGAAUGAUUGUAUAGUAACUAUAUACAGUAGAGACGGUACCUAACCAGAAAGCCACGGCUAACUACGUGCCAGCAGCCGCGGUAAUACGUAGGUGGCAAGCGUUGUCCGGAAUUAUUGGGCGUAAAGGGCGCGCAGGCGGCUUCUUAAGUCUGUCUUAAAAGUGCGGGGCUUAACCCCGUGAUGGGAUGGAAACUGGGAAGCUCAGAGUAUCGGAGAGGAAAGCGGAAUUCCUAGUGUAGCGGUGAAAUGCGUAGAUAUUAGGAGGAACACCAGUGGCGAAGGCGACUUUCUGGACGAAAACUGACGCUGAGGCGCGAAAGCCAGGGGAGCGAACGGGAUUAGAUACCCCGGUAGUCCUGGCCGUAAACGAUGGGUACUAGGUGUAGGAGGUAUCGACCCCUUCUGUGCCGGAGUUAACGCAAUAAGUACCCCGCCUGGGGAGUACGACCGCAAGGUUGAAACUCAAAGGAAUUGACGGGGGCCCGCACAAGCGGUGGAGUAUGUGGUUUAAUUCGACGCAACGCGAAGAACCUUACCAAGCCUUGACAUUGAUCGCAAGGAGUAGAGAUACUCUGUUCUUCUUCGGAAGACGAGAAAACAGGUGGUGCACGGCUGUCGUCAGCUCGUGUCGUGAGAUGUUGGGUUAAGUCCCGCAACGAGCGCAACCC
rnacentral:rRNA from 1 species